GCCCCCGGCAGCCCCUCCUGAUGAUUAUUCUUCCUAAGCCUGCUCAUGGUGAGCAAACUGAGCCUUUAAGUUGACUAAAGGUGCUGCUUCCCC